GCCAGCAUGGCAUAAUGGUUUGAGUGCUGGACUACAACUCUGGAGAUCAGGGUUCAACUACCAGCUCAGCCA